rnacentral:rRNA from 1 species
AUACGGAGGGUGCAAGCGUUAAUCGGAAUUACUGGGCGUAAAGCGCGCGUAGGCGGUUAUUUAAGUCAGAUGUGAAAGCCCCGGGCUCAACCUGGGAAUUGCAUCUGAUACUGGAUGGCUAGAGUGUGGUAGAGGUGAGUGGAAUUUCAGGUGUAGCGGUGAAAUGCGUAGAGAUCUGAAGGAACAUCAGUGGCGAAGGCGACUCACUGGGCCAUUACGGACGCUGAGGUGCGAAAGCGUGGGUAGCAAACAGGAUUAGAUACCCUGGUAGUCCACGCCCUAAACGAUGUCAACUAGGUGUAUGGAGAAUUUAUUCUUUGUGUAUCGAAGCUAACGCGAUAAGUUGACCGCCUGGGGAGUACGGUCGCAAGACUAAA